rnacentral:rRNA from 1 species
GAGUUUGAUCCUGGCUCAGGACGAACGCUGGCGGCGUGCUUAACACAUGCAAGUCGAACGAGAAUCUGCUGAAGGAGGAUUCGUCCAACGGAAGUAGAGGAAAGUGGCGGACGGGUGAGUAACGCGUGAGUAACCUGCCCUAGAGUGGGGGACAACAGUUGGAAACGACUGCUAAUACCGCAUAAGCCCACGGUACCGCAUGGUACUGAGGGAAAAGGAUUUAUUCGCUUCAGGAUGGACUCGCGUCCAAUUAGCUAGUUGGUGAGGUAACGGCCCACCAAGGCGACGAUUGGUAGCCGGACUGAGAGGUUGAACGGCCACAUUGGGACUGAGACACGGCCCAGACUCCUACGGGAGGCAGCAGUGGGGGAUAUUGCACAAUGGGGGAAACCCUGAUGCAGCGACGCCGCGUGGAGGAAGAAGGUUUUCGGAUUGUAAACUCCUGUCGUUAGGGACGAUAAUGACGGUACCUAACAAGAAAGCACCGGCUAACUACGUGCCAGCCGCCGCGGUAAUAC